AGGCUAUGAGGAUAAAAUCAAUUAAAAUGAUUAGAUGAAUGAAUUAUCCUAUACGCUAUUCUGAGCCUCAG